AACGAACGCUGGCGGCAUGCCUAACACAUGCAAGUCGAACGAGACCUUCGGGUCUAGUGGCGCACGGGUGCGUAACGCGUGGGAACCUGCCCUUAGGUUCGGAAUAACUCCCCGAAAGGGGUGCUAAUACCGGAUAAUGUCUUCGGACCAAAGAUUUAUCGCCUUUGGGUGGGCCCGCGUUGGAUUAGCUAGUUGGUAGGGUAAAAGCCUACCAAGGCGACGAUCCAUAGCUGGUCUGAGAGGAUGAUCAGCCACACUGGGACUGGGACACGGCCCAGACUCCUACGGGAAGCAGCAGUGGGGAAUAUUGGACAAUGGGCGAAAGCCUGAUCCAGCAAUGCCGCGUGAGUGAUGAAGGCCUUAGGGUUGUAAAGCUCUUUUACCCGGGAUGAUAAUGACAGUACCGGGAGAAUAAGCUCCGGCUAACUCCGUG
rnacentral:rRNA from 1 species